CCUCAGAUACACCUGGGUAUAGAGCUGGACAUAAAUAAGGUCAUAAAUGAAAAGUUACUUCUGAUCCCUCAAGCUAUUUUAUGUCUGCAGAGUGCAAAACCAGCAUUAGAACUUGUUCGGUCUCCCUCUGUUCCGGGAGAAGAGGCUAAAGAGGAGGAAAAUUACAACAACCCUCCGUCUGUUGCUGCACCACAGCCUGGACAACCUGAAUCAAGUGCAAAACCAGCAUUAGAACUUGUUCGGUCUCCCUCUGUUCCUGGGGAUGAGGACAAAGAGGAGGAAAAUUACAACAACCCUCCGUCUGUUGCUGCACCACAGCCUGGACAACCAGAAUCAGUAAGCACCAGCUUUGGUUGGCACUGUCUUUGCUGCAAAGCAGAGUUGGAAGUUUCUGACCAGACAGCA
rnacentral:lncRNA from 1 species